UUGACUGAGGAUCAUUUCUGUAAUUGAGCAUCCUCGCAGAUGAACAGAACAUAAUGAUCCUGGUUCAUCUCCCUAAUGAUGUUCUCAGCCUCAUAACAUAAUGCAUCAUAAUCUAACAUUAACAUUUGCAGCUGCUCCUGACUGCACCAGACUGAUUUUGAAUACUACUUUAAAGACCUGUGUUUUCACUGUCCAGUUCAACUUCCUCUUGCAGUUCUGAAAGGUCUUCUUAGUGGAUGAGCAGCCAACAACCUGUAUUGCCCAGGUUGUUUCUGACUUUAUAGAUGUUGAGGUAAGGAAAUUGAUCUGCCAACAAACCCAUUUACUUCACCGACCAGCUCUGGAAACUACCCUGGCAACGGUGAAAUGAGAUCCUGUAAUAGUUGGCUCCUUUCAGGCUGAGGUCCAAGGAAGGAGAACCUACUGAAAAGAAGAAAACAAAAACCGACCUGAAGAGCAAAAGACAGAAAACAAAAAAUUACCAGGAUUGUUCCCACUCCAGAUUGAGUUGGUGAGCCAGAUGUUGAGGACUGGGUCAACACCACUUCCUAUUCUGAACCAAUCCCAUCUUUUAUUAACAAAGUAGCACCAAGGCCACAAGGAAUCCAACCAUGGUGAUCUCCAUGAGAGAUACAUUCAGGAAGAUAAUUUUAUUGAAGAAACUCCUGAGGCCCUCACAUCCAUCACAAUGAAGAUUCAUGUUAUGCCCUGGAACAGUGUAGCAUGGAGGCUUCCCAAGACAGUCAUUGCCAUGCUUCCAAAAGGAGCUCUGAAUAGGUUGUCGGCCCUGUCAUCUGCCCACACUCCUCCUCAACUACAUGAUCAAACAUGGGUAUGAGUCUAAUGAGAAUGAACAAAUCACAGCAAAAAUUAAGGUUAACUGCAUCUAAUUAACCUACCAAUUAAGACUUGAAUAAUCACUGAAAAAUUGUGCAUGGAAAACAAAUGAGUGGACAAUUGAACACCUUUGGUAUUAAAGAGAGUUUUGUGUGAGGCAAGACUAGCAGUGUGUUUAAGACAAAGAUCAGCCUAACAUAACAGAAUAUUGAAAAUUGAAUACAGCACCAUGAUUAAUGACCUCGUAAGGAUAAUACCAUAAUUUUAUCAUUACCAUCCCAAAUGUCUCAUUACUAUCCUACUGAGCAGCUCCAGCUGUUUUAAUAACAUCAUUCCAAAACCUAAUGAUAUUAGAUUGCUAUGCUUGAGGUUGGAACAAUUUUUUUUUCUCUACACUAUUAGAAGUAGUUACUGCCCCAUGGAGGAGGUUGGAAAGGUGGCUGCUGCAAUAUGGUAAUCCAAUAUGAUGACAGUUUGUGAAUUGAUUGUAACUUUUGCAGUUGUUCAACAUAUAAACAGUUAUGAUUUGGAGAUGCCGCUAUUGGACUGGGGUGUACAAAGUUAAAGAUCACACAAUGCAGGUUAUAGUCAACCACCUGAUGAAGGAGCAGCGCUCCGAAAGCUAGUGCUUCCAAUAAAACCUGUUGUACUAUAGCCUGGUGUUGUGUGAUUUUUAAACAUUAAAACAGAGCUGUUUAAAGCCCUACAGUACUAUUGGAUAAUAUUUGGUUAUAGUCAGGAUUCAUUUUUGUUUACAAGUUAGUACUGCAAUUCCUCACUCAAACUAUUUUUAGUUUAUUUUAUACUUGCAUCACUAUGAAUUCAGAGAAGAAUGCUAAAGUAUCUGUAAUAAACUGCAGUCACCUUCUGGAUAUAUUUGUACAUCCCAAUAAUACUGUAAAUGAGAAAUGUCACUUCUGAUUUGAAAUGAUUUACUGUUUUGGCAGAGGUGGUUUAUUCUAUCCCAUAUGUUUACAUGGUCAUCUAAUCUCCAUGGAAUCAUAAUUAAUUUUCAUCACGCUGGUGUACUAUAAAUUAGGCACAUGUAAGAGAUUAAAUUCAGUAGCAAUUUUACAAGUUAGUUAAGUAGCAAAUGGAUGCUUGUUCUAAUAAAUGGUUGUUAUCAGCAAUUUGAUCAGACUUUUCCAUUCAUGUGUUGAGCCUAAACAAUCAUAUUGUGUUUAGGCUACUAUUACUCUGAUCAUUCUGCAGCCAGGCAAAACGUGCAAUGGAAAGUCAGGGCCAAUAGAACUCAAGAUUCAGAUUAUAAUCUCACUCACAAAUCCAACAAAUCUAAAAGGUUGAAAACAGGCUGUGUUGCUGUGUUGAUAAGACAUGCCUGUUUGAUAGUCUACCUUAAAAGAAUGUAAUAAUGGUUAUAAUUAUUGUUUAACAUCACUUGAACUUGGUUGGAUGUACUAAACAUAUACUGACAGGUUGUCAACUGUGAGUUAAACUCAAUUUCGCAGUGCAGUGUAGCUAUUUUCUAAGCAACCUUUUCAGAGAUGUUGUUACACAGUUCUAGAGUAGAUGGGAUUUGAACAUUGUCAACUCUAUUCACUCAGUUACUGAUGGAUCACUUAACACACAAUAUAUUUCAAGCUGGCUCUGCGACCAUGCGAGAGGUCAUGUAAGUCCUUCAACAUGGUAUUGAAGGUCAUAGUGAAGGAACCACAAAGGAGAAGGGAUGUCCUAUUCUCACGAAGCAGCUUUGCUGACCCAAGGAAAACAACACCAGUCUAAACAAAGUUUGCUCAUUGCUCAGAUCUUCAAAGCGAGUCCUUCCAGCUGCAGCAAGUAGGAGAAUUGGACUAGCAGCCAAUGAUCGGGGUGCCAUAGAAGCAUGCUUGGUCGUUUAGUCCUAGGCCUUGCAGAAAGAAACUGUCCAGGAAACUGAAUGAAAAUGACACUGCCAAAAUAUAGUAAGAUUCAGUCCCAUGUGUGCAAAGCGAAUGCAAAUACUGAGGAAGAGAACAAACUGUUAAUGCAUGAGAAGGGUCAUGCAUACAUUUUGUAACUUGGGUAGUGAAAAAUGUACCUGAUAAUGCAGUUUUUUGCUUGAUUUUUAUAUAAAAGGGGAAUGUUUGGAUUGAAAUGUAAUUAUGUGCAAACAUACUUCCUAGCCUGCUACAAUCACGUGGCCUUUACCAUGAGGCAUACAUGUUGUAAACAGACAUCUUAAAUUCUCUUUAAUAAACACCCCAUGCUGAACACAGUGCUGCUUUGAUCUACCUGUUGUUGUACUCCAAAACAUCUUGAGCUUCCUCCUUUAAAAAGUCUCACAAAAUUAAGUACCAUUCAGGAAAUCAACAGGGAAGAGGCAGACUCUCCCUGGGAUCAAAUUCUCUGAAGCCAAAAGUCCUGAAAGCUAAGGAUUGUCAACCAAUCAGAGAUGAGCAUCUCUUCACUGAGCAGUGGUGCCACCAGGAAGGCAACAACUGCUGCUGGCACUGCACCCACCUGAGACCUAAAAUCCUGAAUGGAUCCAGGUGAACGAUGACAGAAGAAACACUGUGGAAUGGGGAUCUGGUGUAAAGCCUACCCAUGUUUAAAAGACACAAAAUCACUGACAAGGGAUAAACAGAAUGAAAAAGCCUGCUCCAGCAUUUAGACACAAUGACGGACAAGUAAAUAAAACAGAAUUAAACGUCUGCUUCAGCACUUAAGUGAAGCACGAUGGUAACUUUGAACAGGCUACUCCAAGGUGAACAGGAGGCCCUACAUAAACAGCCAUCUGAGAAAAUUUAGUAAGAGGAUGUCUAAAAAUAGCCACAAGUUCAUUAAACCAUGACAAGUGAUUAAUUCCGGCCUCAUUAAUGAACGGAUGUUGUCCCAUUAGGUGAACAGUGCCCAUUAGAACGGGGGGUGUAAAUCUCAUUCAGCCUAAAUCAUGCAACUGUGAAAACAAUAGCUGAAGUUAUUUUGUAGGAAUCAAGUGUUUCUUUGAAGUUAUUCACAAUGUUAAGAAAUAGGUUCUAGUUAAAGAUUCUUUAGAUAAUCACAGAUAUAGAUUUCAAUAUAAUUAUUGAUACACAUAUAUAACCAAAAUAUAAUAGAAGCAUUAGGGGAAAAGCAUUCAAACAUUGAUGUGAAAGAUAAUUAGUCUCAGGAAAUGCUUUCCUCAUCUCCAAAAAAAUGUCUGGUACAUCCUGAAUGAAAUAAAUUGUUCACAGAAAGUGCUAACAGUAAAAGUACCUGUAAAACUUUAAUUUAUAACUAACCUUAUAAUAUGAAUUAAUGCUAUAAAUCUUAUGGCAGUUGAUUAGAACCAACUGUCUUUUGUAUUUUUUAUAUAUAUAUAAUUAGGACAGUGGAAAAUACAAGAGGAGUAACAGAACUUGAUGGAGAUAGCAAAUGAAUACAAGGGACUACAAGGGGCUAGAAGUCCUUAGAGAUCCUCAUGGAUGAUUUUGGGAUAGUGUAGGGGGACGAGCUGAGAAAAAUCCACAGGUCGGUGCAAUAUUGAGAGCCGAAGAGCCUGUUCUGCGCUGUAUUGUUCUAUGCUCUAUGUUCUAUAAGAAAGUCUGCAACUGGUCCAAAGGAGUAUAACCAGUGACUUUGGAAUGCAAGUUAAUAGAAUAGAUGUAUAGAUAGAUCCCAAGGCCUGGAAAUUGCCAUGUCUGUUAAACACCAUGAGAUCAUGGGAACCUGGUACUGUCCUUAGGAGUGCCCGUCAUUGAUUGUAUUUUACAGGAUUGGAUGUAUAGAAUAAGGGGAAGGACACAUUGACCAUGUUGUAUGUGAUUAUUGUAACACAAAAUGUGUAAAAAUGCAGUAUUUAACUGUAAAUACCAGAGAGUGUCUUUGAUCUUUCUUCUCAGCUGAAGAUUAAUAGAAUGACUGGGUUCUCAUGUCAAGGCCAAAUUGGGGGAAGGUCUUUGGUCGUCUCCCUGCAUUAGCCAGUUGUUGCUUGUAUAGGAAUAAAGUCUGCCACAUGCCGGAUUGCUGCCUGCCUCCUGAGUCUUUGUCCCCGAUCGGGGGGUUUCGCUCCGUCAAGGGGGAAUGAUGGUCAUUGGCAUAGACAAGGGUUUCUGUCAAUGUGGCCCCCUUGGACUUAAGCAGCAUACUUUUGGAAAUAUAAACAGACCCAAACCCAGAGUACAGUCCAAAACCAUCCUCACUCCCAUAUGAUAGAAACUCUUUUUCUUUGUGAUCUCUACUGGCAUUCAUUGCCCACUAAAGAGCUCACAGGCAAGAAAGUCAUCUAUGGACCUUCGCACCACUGACUUAACUGUAGUUGAGACAGGAAAGUAGCAAAGAAACAAAGGCAGGAGUAAUUUUAACUUUGUGAUAUGCUGUAAAAUUGCUGAUAUUAGUUGAUUGUCCCUUGUAUAUCUUGUCUGAUUUUCCUUGACCUCAAUGGAAGGGUACAUUUUCAGUUAAUCACUGUGAAAUAAUGCAGUGAGUCACAGUAUGUUCAGGAAAUCACUGGCCAUGUUCCAUCCCUAACCAAAUAAAGGGACUCUGUUGAAAAGGCUGCAAUCCAAACUGAAUUGUACUGGAGAAGUACAUUUCUUGUUACAUCUGGAAAUGUCACAGCUGCCUGUUCUCUAUUCUUAUUCUUUAUUGGGAUUUCAGACAGUCAGUUUUAUUAAAGGAAUCUGCAUAGUGUACUGACUUCACUUUCUUUUCGUUUCCAUUUGGCUCAUCCACAAUUUAUGAAAAUGUAUGAGGUGGGAGUUGAAAAGGCAAAGAGGUUAAGUUUGUUUUGUUCAUCUACACUCUUUAGGUUCCACUUGGUUACAACAUAGUGUAGCUCCAAUGUGAAACUACCAGAUCCAAUCACAAUUUUAAAAAUGCAGAAAAACUGCAACCAAAUGUACAUGCAUUGGAUUUCAUUUUCCAGUACCUCCUUAGGGCCUCGGUUAAUGGAUUAAUACUAACUUUUGGGCAAAAUAAGUACAAUUGUGCUGGGAAGGUGAGCUCCAAAAUUGAGGUGAAAGGCUGUUAAUCUUGUCAUCAUGGGUUUGCAGACAGUCAUAAGUGAGGACAGUUUCUUACUUAGUGUGCUGCCUAAUCUCAAGUUUCCAAAGGAUUUUGUGGCAAAACGAACAUAAUUUUUAGUGAUAUAUCUAAAUGUCUUUGAAUAAGUUAGAAAAUGUCUACUCAUUGUCUACCAAGUGAUCCAUGUUUUCUGAUUUUGAAAGCAGAGCAUUUGAAAGCAAUUCCAAUGGACAACUGACCCCAAUAUUUACAGUGCGUUGUUUUCAGUGGCUGGAAGACAUUGAUAUAGGAAACUCUGAAAUACAUCACAACUUAU